GAUGAAGAACGCAGCGAAAUGCGAUAAGUAAUGUGAAUUGCAGAAUUCAGUGAAUCAUCGAAUCUUUGAACGCACAUUGCGCCCUCUGGUAUUCCGGGGGGCAUGCCUGUUCGAGCGUCAUUACAACCCUCAAGCUUUGCUUGGUAUUGGACAUUGCCAGUUUCUGGCAGGUCUUAAAAUCAGUGGCGGUGCCAUUUGGCUUCAAGCGUAGUAAUUCUUCUCGCUUUGGAGAUCCAAGUGGUUACUUGCCAAUAACCCCCAAUUUUUUCAGGUUGACCUCGGAUCAGGUAGGGAUACCCGCUGAACUUAAGCAUAUCAUAAGCGGAGGA
rnacentral:misc_RNA from 1 species